rnacentral:rRNA from 1 species
CUGGCGGCAUGCCUUACACAUGCAAGUCGAACGGCAGCACGGGAGCAAUCCUGGUGGCGAGUGGCGAACGGGUGAGUAAUAUAUCGGAACGUGCCCAGUCGUGGGGGAUAACGUAGCGAAAGCUACGCUAAUACCGCAUACGAUCUACGGAUGAAANCGGGGGAUCGCAAGACCUCGCGCGAUUGGAGCGGCCGAUAUCAGAUUAGGUAGUUGGUGAGGUAAAGGCUCACCAAGCCGACGAUCUGUAGCUGGUCUGAGAGGACGACCCAGCCACACUGGGACUGAGACACGGCCCAGACUCCUACGGGAGGCAGCAGUGGGGAAUUUUGGACAAUGGGCGCAAGCCUGAUCCAGCAAUGCCGCGUGCAGGAUGAAGGCCUUCGGGUUGUAAACUGCUUUUGUACGGAACGAAACGGUGAGCUCUAAUACAGUUUGCUAAUGACGGUACCGUAAGAAUAAGCACCGGCUAACUACGUG